GCUGGCGGCAUGCCUAACACAUGCAAGUCGAACGAACCCUUCGGGGUGAGUGGCGCCCGGGUGCGUAACGCGUGGGAACCUGCCUUUAGGUUCGGAAUAACAGUUAGAAAUGACUGCUAAUACCGGNUAAUGUCUUCGGACCAAAGAUUUAUCGCCUUUAGAUGGGCCCGCGUUAGAUUAGAUAGUUGGUGGGGUAAUGGCCUACCAAGUCGACGAUCUAUAGCUGGUCUGAGAGGAUGAUCAGCCACACUGGGACUGAGACACGGCCCAGACUCCUACGGGAGGCAGCAGUGGGGAAUAUUGGACAAUGGGCGAAAGCCUGAUCCAGCAAUGCCGCGUGAGUGAUGAAGGCCUUAGGGUUGUAAAGCUCUUUUACCAGGGAUGAUAAUGACAGUACCUGGAGAAUAAGCUCCGGCUAACUCCGUGCCAGCAGCCGCGGUAAUAC
rnacentral:rRNA from 1 species